rnacentral:rRNA from 1 species
CAUUACAGCCACACCAGUGUGAAUGCACCCGAUCUCGUCUGAUCUCGGAAAGUGAAACACACUUGGUCUCGGCCAGUAUUUGGAUGGGAGACCACCUAGGAACCCUGAAAGCUUUAGCCA